rnacentral:rRNA from 1 species
AGCAGCCGCGGUAAUUCCAGCUCCAAUAGCGUAUAUUAAAGUUGUUGCAGUUAAAAAGCUCGUAGUUGAAUUUCGGGGCCAGUAGGUUGGUCGUGCCACUGGUAUGCACUGGCCUUACUGGUCCCUCCUUCUUGUAGAACCGUGAUGCCAUUAAUUUGGUGUUGCGGGGAAACAGGACUGUUACUUUGAAAAAUUAGAGUGCUUAAAGCAGGCUCGCGCUUGAAUACAUUAGCAUGGAAUAAUGAAAUAGGACGUUCGAUCCUAUUUUGUUGGUUUCUAGGAUUGACGUAAUGAUUAAUAGGGAUAGUUGGGGGCAUUAGUAUUCAAUUGUCAGAGGUGAAAUUCUUGGAUUUAUUGAAGACUAACUACUGCGAAAGCAUUUGCCAAGGAUGUUUUCAUUAAUCAAGAACGAAAGUUAGGGGAUCGAAGACGAUCAGAUACCGUCGUAGUCUUAACCAUAAACUAUGCCGACUAGGGAUCGGAUGAUGUUAAUUUUUAAUGUACU